AGGUCGCAGGCGACACAAGCUGCCUUGGGGCACCAAGCCUUGGCGUCGGGAGAAAGAGCUGGGGCCCCAUGCACACUGCUCCAGGCCGAAGCAUGCUGGGAGCACAGCAGGGGCCACCGGAACCCCACCUCACAGCUCAAAGACGGGGUGCUGAAUGUAAGGAGCACAAGGUGAUCCAAUCAGCAUGCAGCAAAGCAGAUUGUCACAAAACACUACCCUUCCAGCAACGGUGGGCGGGGCAUGAGAUCCUCAAAGGGGGGUGCGUCCGCUGCAUGAGGGCAAAAGUUAUAUUCCAGAAGGUUUCCAAAGCGAUGUUUAAAGGCCCUGACUGAAAUUGAUUUCCAGGAAUCAUUCUCCUUUCCAGCUAAAAAAGGCAUUACUUUAGAUCACCUAAACCAGUCCUGAGUGUGCAGGAUGACAUGAAGAAGCACAGGUCUGCUGCUCCAAGAAAAGCCUCCUUUUUCCCAAAGUAAAAAAAAAAAAAAACACAAAGCAAGCAAACACAAUCUUGAAAAUCAUACUUAUGAUGCCCAUAAGAGUGUGAUGUCAUCCCGAUGAAUGAAAGUUCACCACACUUUCAUAGCAAAUAGCACCUUUUUUGGUCGACCUCUGUAAGUAAAGAGUGUAUGUAGAGUCAUGCUAUGUUGACAGGCUCGGAGUAACAACACGAUAUUGUAAGUGCUUUUAUAGGAUUUGGGAGGCGUGGCUGACAGGACGAGAUGCAGACCGUGUCAACACGAAACACCAUUACAGGUCAGGAAAAGACGGAAAGGAAAAGAGAAACAUGCCCCGACAGUGAUUUUUUGGUACAUUUUUGUUGGAGGGUCUCAAUUUAACAGACCCUCGAUGGAGGGUGGCAGGUGCCUGCUGGGAAAUAAAUGUUAAAGAGUUGUCCACC